rnacentral:rRNA from 1 species
GUGGGGAAUCUUAGACAAUGGGCGCAAGCCUGAUCUAGCCAUGCCGCGUGAGCGAUGAAGGCCUUAGGGUUGUAAAGCUCUUUCGUGGGGGAAGAUAAUGACUGCACCCCAAGAAGAAGCCCCGGCUAACUCCGUGCCAGCAGCCGCGGUAAUACGGAGGGGGCUAGCGUUGUUCGGAAUUACUGGGCGUAAAGCGCGCGUAGGCGGACCAGAAAGUUGGAGGUGAAAUCCCAGGGCUCAACCUUGGAACUGCCUUCAAAACUCCUGGUCUGGAGUUCGAGAGAGGUGAGUGGAAUUCCGAGUGUAGAGGUGAAAUUCGUAGAUAUUCGGAGGAACACCAGUGGCGAAGGCGGCUCACUGGCUCGAUACUGACGCUGAGGUGCGAAAGCGUGGGGAGCAAACAGGAUUAGAUACCCGGGUAGUCC